UGUGGUGGCAACCAACAUGGUGAUCUACAGAUGAGGCAAAUGUUCCUUGAGGGAGUUGAUGAUCCGCCUAGAUGCACCCCAACCUGGGGCUGCCUGUUCUGAAAGAAGCAACUCAUUCUUUGAGAGCUGCUCACAUGAUGUGCUCAGUAUAGAGGGCAAAAAAAGUGCCAGAGAACCCAGAGAGAAGACGAGAUCCACGAGAUCCUUCCUGGCAAGCAGAGUUUCAGAAAAGAAGUUCUGUUCCUCAGGGUCAUAUA